ACUCCCCACCCUCACCCCAGCACUGUUACACAACGGUCACUGCCGCGGGCACAAAACACCAAGGGACAAACGGACUGUCGCGGGGAGAGGGGAAGAAAAUGGGGUUGCGUGGGGUGGAGCUGAACAGAAGCCUCCCACAGAGAGCAAGUGUGCAGACCUCAGCUCCUCUCCCCUCUCUCCCACAACCCUCUAUUAGCCUCUGCAGGGCUUCUGGGCACCUGCAUGUCAGAUCGUUGGGGUUAGAACCCUCGCUCCACCACUUCCUAGCUGUGUGACAUUAACCAAGUGAAUUUACUUUUCUGAACCUGUUUCCAUACUGUGAAAUGGAAAUAAUGAAACCUGCCUCUUGAAAUUAUUUGGGAGAAUUAAAUGAGAUCUCAUGCCUAUAAGGUCUAUUACAUUAAGGUCUAUUUACAUUACAUGUAAAGGACAAAUCAUUUUUUUUUCUAAGUCUUCUAAUUGCUGAAUAGACCAUUUUAUUUCCAGCAUCGGGCACACAGUGGGUGCUCCUUGGUUCGAUGAAUAAACAAGCCAAUCCCCUCGCUGGUUGGUAAGUCCUAUGAAGGCAAUGAUGGUAUGUCUCUUACUACUGCAUCCUCACCACCCACCAUGGACCCUGGCAGAUAAAAGGUGCUCAAUACAUUGUUGAACAGAAUCUCUGCACCAACUAUCCUUGCUCACGGCAGGGGCAGCCCUCACCUUCUUC
rnacentral:lncRNA from 1 species